AACGAACGCUGGCGGCAUGCCUAACACAUGCAAGUCGAACGAGACCUUCGGGUCUAGUGGCGCACGGGUGCGUAACGCGUGGGAACCUGCCCUUAGGUUCGGAAUAACUCCCCGAAAGGGGUGCUAAUACCGGAUAAUGUCUUCGGACCAAAGAUUUAUCGCCUUUGGAUGGGCCCGCGUUGGAUUAGCUAGUUGGUAGGGUAAAAGCCUACCAAGGCGACGAUCCAUAGCUGGUCUGAGAGGAUGAUCAGCCACACUGGGACUGAGACACGGCCCAGACUCCUACGGGAGGCAGCAGUGGGGAAGAUUGGACAAUGGGCGAAAGCCUGAUCCAGCAAUGCCGCGUGAGUGAUGAAGGCCUGAGGGUUGUAAAGCUCUUUUACCCGGGAUGAUAAGGACAGUACCGGGAGAAUAAGCUCCGGCUAACUCCGU
rnacentral:rRNA from 1 species